rnacentral:rRNA from 1 species
CUACAGAGGGUGCGAGCGUUAAUCGGAAUUACUGGGCGUAAAGCGCGCGUAGGCGGCUUAUUAAGUCAGAUGUGAAAUCCCCGGGCUCAACCUGGGAACUGCAUCUGAUACUGGUAAGCUAGAGUUUUGGAGAGGGAAGUAGAAUUUCAGGUGUAGCGGUGAAAUGCAUAGAGAUCUGAAGGAAUACCAGUGGCGAAGGCGACUUCCUGGCCAAAAACUGACGCUGAGGUGCGAAAGCGUGGGUAGCAAACGGGAUUAGAAACCCUUGUAGUCC